AAUGAAGGGAAGAUGCUGGUAUGAUGAACGUACCUAAGGAGCCUCCAGUUAUAGUGCCCUCAACGACAACAGGAAGCCGGCGCCUUGUCAACGGUACCCCCAUGGUUCUAUGAUGUGUGAAAAGUGCCGUUCUGUUUGAUCAGUCAAGGUAAAGGUGUCCCCUGACACGUGGGUGAUUUGGGAUGCGUACUGUUUAAGCUUUCCGAUAUACAAGUUUCCAGAGAAAUAUUAGUUGACGUGUUGUGCGCAAUGCUACGCCGUGCGUGGAUCAGCUGCUGGCGUGAACUGGACAUCCCGCCCUACGGUGUGGCGAGUCUCCCUCUAACGUCCUCCGCCUCUGUUUUCGUCGCCACUCCUCUCUCUACGGGCCGACACAUCUAACACUUUUGACUUUGAUCUCCUCCUCAACGUCAACGCGUGUUCAUUCAUCUGUCCUGGUGCAGUCAUCGGGAGGGUAAACCCUUCAUGCAAACUGCAGCUAUUCUCAAGAAGGAGAAAUUGUGAAGACAGUCAUUAUUACCGACGCAAAGACUGGUAUUGGGAGAGUGAUUGCUUCGGUGAUGGGCCGUGCGGCGAGCCAGAGGCAGUAUGGUGUGGCUGGACAUGAAGUGUCAAGAAGUUGGAUGAGGGAAUUGAGGUACUGUGUUGCUUAGAGUUUGUUAGAAAUGGAUUUGGUGUGUAAUAAAUAAUUUGAAGAUUUGAUGUAGUGAAUGUAAAGAUUCUUGUCUUAUGAGGUGCAAACUUUGUUUCGAAGAUACCAGAUUGUUGUUGUUUUUUAGGCAAGGAAACACAUUGCGGUGACUGUUUGAAAUAAAUACUUUGCACAUUAAUAUUGUGAACGCACCUUUGUGUGUGAUAAGUUUAAAAAAUGACACACUAAGUGUGUGACUUAGCCUCACAGGAAUUGAUCAGUAA